AUUGAACGCUGGCGGUAUGCUUAACACAUGCAAGUCGAACGGUAGCAGGCCUUCGGGCGCUGACGAGUGGCGGACGGGUGAGUAAUGCAUAGGAAUCUGCCUAUUAGUGGGGGAUAACGUGGGGAAACUCACGCUAAUACCGCAUACGAUCUACGGAUGAAAGCUGGGGACCUUCGGGCCUGGCGCUAAUAGAUGAGCCUGCGUAGGAUUAGCUAGUUGGUGGGGUAAAAGCUCACCAAGGCGACGAUCCUUAACUGGUUUGAGAGAAUGAUCAGUCAAACUGGAACUGAGACACGGUCCAGACUCCUACGGGAGGCAGCAGUGGGGAAUAUUGGACAAUGGGCGAAAGCCUGAUCCAGCAAUACCGCGUGUGUGAAGAAGGCCUUAGGGUUGUAAAGCACUUUCAAUUGGAAGGAAAACCUCGAAGCUAAUACCUUCGAGUUUGACAUUACCUUUAGAAGAAGCACCGGCUAACUCCGUGCCAGCAGCCGCCGUAA
rnacentral:rRNA from 1 species